GCCGGGCGUGGUGUGGUGUGCACCUGUAGUCCUAGCUACUCUGGAGGCUGAGGUGGGAGGAUCCCUUGAGCCUGGGAGGUCCAGGUUGCGGUGAGCUGUGACUGGGCCACUGCACUCGAGCCUGGGCAACAGAGUGAGACCCCAUCUCUA
rfam:Pan troglodytes isolate Yerkes chimp pedigree #C0471 (Clint) chromosome 1, whole genome shotgun sequence.